UACGAAGGGGGCUAGCGUUGCUCGGAAUCACUGGGCGUAAAGGGCGCGUAGGCGGAUCUUUAAGUCGGGGGUGAAAUCCUGGGGCUCAACCUCAGAAUUGCCUCCGAUACUGGCAGUCUCGAGUGCGGGAGAGGUGAGUGGAAUUCCCAGUGUAGAGGUGAAAUUCGUAGAUAUUGGGAAGAACACCAGUGGCGAAGGCGGCUCACUGGCCCGUAACUGACGCUGAGGUGCGAAAGCGUGGGGAGCAAACAGG
rnacentral:rRNA from 1 species